rnacentral:rRNA from 1 species
CAUCGCCUCUUGCCCAAAUAUAAGAGGUCCAGCCUGCCCAGUGACAUAGUUUAACGGCCGCGGUACCCUAACCGUGCGAAGGUAGCAUAAUCACUUGUUCUUUAAAUAAGGACUCGUAUCAACGGCAUCACGAGGGCUGUACUGUCUCCUUUCUCCAAUCAGUGAAACUGAUCUCCCCGUGAAGAAGCGGGGAUUGACCUAUAAGACGAGAAGACCCCAUGGAGCUUUAAACCCAACACACACCCCUACGCACCCAAACCAAUACAGCCCAAGAGACUUGUGUGUUGGUUUUAGGUUGGGGGGACCGCGGAGUAAAAUCAAACCUCCAUGACAGACGGGCUAAUACCCUUAUCCAUGAACCACAAUUCUAAGAGCCAAUAAAUUGUUGUCUAAUGACCCAAUUACUUGAUCAACGAACCAAGUUACCCUGGGGAUAACAGCGCAAUCUACUUCAAGAGCCCCUAUCGACAAGUAGGUUUACGACCUCGAUGUUGGAUCAGGGUAUCCUAGUGGUGCAGCCGCUACUAAAGG